UGUAAGUAUAUAUUUAUAUAUGUAUGUAUGUGUAGCAUAUAUAAUGCAUACGCAUAAAUACUGUAUAAUUAGUGGAGGGGGGGCACUUUCGUUUUGAUCAGGAAUGCUACAAGAUUGCUGAUAUAUUGCGCAGAAAGAUGAUUGGUAAAAGUGAUGGAAGAGAAAAGCAGAUAUUGUAUAUAAUAACAUAGCAGAAGCUCAUCAGGGUUCGAUUUUAAAACUACUUCUGAUCAGAAUGGUUUGUUCGUUAAACUGCAUCAGAUAUUCAAAGUUUAUUAGUAUUAUACAAGAGAAUGUUAGCUUUAAUUCUAUUGUGAAAUUUUACGGUUUGCUUGUAAGAACACCAUGCAUUGGAAGUUAAUCAUUAAAGCCUCAAUAAGCCAGUCAUUGAUGAUUCAUUAGUCAUUGGGUUGUAUAAUGAAUCAGUCAUUAGGAGGGAAUACGAAUGGUUCAGUGGAUAAUUGACUAACUGGCAUGAUUCAUUACUGAGCAACAAUUACGGAGAAUAAUCAACUUAGUCUCCUUAAUUACAUUUGGACCCUUGGCAAAUCAAUGUACCCUGUUGGUUUUCACAGUUUAGUCAGGUUGGACUUUAGUUUCAGAAAGAAAGGGAGGUUUUAUUUCAGAUCUUGUAACAGUCCCAUAUCAAGGCAAACUACACUAUUUGGAAUCAGAUAGGAUAAUCCCCUGCUACUUCUUGGUUAAGGGAGGGUUUAGUAUUUAAGAGGGUGAAAAUAAACAAAGAAUGAAGAGCCCUUCCCCAACUCAAUUCUGAUUUAGCAGACCUAUGAUUAAAAGCAUUCUAAAAGCAUUCUAAUCUUGACCCCCGCCCCCGUCCAUGUUUUUAGGGUUAUCUAAGAUUACAGGAACUAAUGUCACCUUUGCAUUUUUUAAAGAUAAAAUGGCUGUGAUUUCAAAGAAUUUAACUGUUGUUACUAGAAAAA